rnacentral:rRNA from 1 species
AGAGUUUGAUCAUGGCUCAGAUUGAACGCUGGCGGCAUGCCUAACACAUGCAAGUCGAACGGAUUCGGGGGCAACCCCGGGUUAGUGGCGGACGGGUGAGGAAUGCGUCGGAAUCUACCCUAUGGUGGGGGAUAACUCAGGGAAACUUGAGCUAAUACCGCAUGAUGUCGAGAGACCAAAGCAGGGGACCGCAAGGCCUUGCGCGAUAGGAUGAGCCGACGCCCGAUUAGCUAGUUGGUAGGGUAAAGGCCUACCAAGGCGACGAUCGGUAGCUGGUCUGAGAGGAUGAUCAGCCACACUGGGACUGAGACACGGCCCAGACUCCUACGGGAGGCAGCAGUGGGGAAUAUUGGACAAUGGGCGCAAGCCUGAUCCAGCAAUGCCGCGUGUGUGAAGAAGGCCUGCGGGUUGUAAAGCACUUUUGUUCGGGAAGAAAGCUUGCUGAUUAAUACUUGGCAAGGAUGACGGUACCGAAAGAAUAAGCACCGGCUAACUACGUGCCAGCAGCCGCGGUAAUACGUAGGGUGCAAGCGUUAAUCGGAAUUACUGGGCGUAAAGCGUGCGCAGGCGGUUUUGUAAGACAGUCGUGAAAUCCCCGGGCUCAACCUGGGAAUUGCGAUUGUGACUGCAAAGCUGGAGUGCGGCAGAGGGGGAUGGAAUUCCGCGUGUAGCAGUGAAAUGCGUAGAUAUGCGGAGGAACACCGAUGGCGAAGGCAAUCCCCUGGGCCUGCACUGACGCUCAUGCACGAAAGCGUGGGGAGCAAACAGGAUUAGAUACCCUGGUAGUCC